AGGAGAAAAAUGGGAGAAUCUGGUGAUAACAGCAGCACAGAAGCUUGUCCUGGCAAGAAUCCUAUCUGUAAGCUCUACAGAACUAGCAUUUCCUCAGUUUCCAUCUGCCAAGAUGCUAACAGCAGAACACAUCAAGUAGGUGAAACACACAGGGAACUGACCUUGACUUAAAGCAAGUAUUUGGCAAUCUAAGAUCUCUGCCAUGACAUGACUAUAGUUUAUGAACCAUUUACAAUGGUAGUAAUAUCACAUUAUUCAUUGUCUGUAUACCAUGUGCCCCAGAUAUUAAAGCCAAUUGAUGCAUACUGUCUUU
rnacentral:lncRNA from 1 species